GCGCCAGCAGUGCAAAAGGUUAGAGCACGUGCUCCCGGAUAGGGUGAGAUGCGGGUUCGAGUCCCGCUUGCCGCA